UGGCUUGCAGAUGGACAAGCUUUAUAACAUUGAAACUGCAAACCAGGAAAUUCUGUCAGUUUGCCACUGCCUGCUCUGCUCCAGCUGAAAAUACUUUAGCUCAGGUUCAGAAAUCUUCUCAGUGAGCUGCUAUUCAGACUCAGAAAGUAGCUUGGAGAAUACUCCAGACGUUAGGCUUUGCGAGUUUUUGUUUGUUUACAUAGAAAAGUCUCUUUUAAAUUUCCUUAUUCUUACACUGCAAAGAGACCUAACCUUGAUGGGUCCCAUCUGCAAUGCUCCUCCUGAAAAGAGACAGAGCUGUUUAACUGAACUGACCUAUUUGGAGGACGAAUAGACUGAUUGAAAAAGGUGCCCAGGAAGUCCUGGAACUGAGUCCUGGGGCAAGGUUCUGGAAGUUGGGACAAGAAGAUUCCUAGAAAAGAGGAAAACAAUCACUCUAGAACUGUUAUAAGCAUGCUAACCAGGACUUCAGAGAAAGGAAAAAAAAAGGCUGAACCUCGCUGGUGAUUCAGAUGGAUCAUGAGGAUCUUUCAACAAAGCUAAGUUCCCGUCUUUUAACGCAGUUAUUCUCAUACUUUUAUACUGAAAUAUCCAGAAUAGCAAAUGAGUUAAAUAUGUUUUCUGUGGGGUUCUGUACAAAGAAGAUUUAGAGCUUUAUGAACCUAAAAUAACAUAUCACAAGGAGAAAAUUUACUUGAAGUGGGAGACUUGGCUUAAAAGCAUCUAAUAUAAAUUGUAUAUUAUAUUCAAUAAUACAAAAGCAAUGCUUUAUUUAGAAUGAAUUAAAAUGCAUGCUUCAGACAAAAUGCAUGAUGUUUAGCUUUUGAUUUACUGAAUAUACUAUUCAACAGAUGUUUGAGUUACAUAGUUUGAGGAGCACAGGCCUUUGGUAUUGAUGGCUCCUGUUAAAAUAAAAACAUGUUUUCUGAGAGCAUAAUCAUAUGAAACCAGGAGCACAUAUUAACAUAAAACUCAAAUCACUUCCCCUGACUUUCUUCUUUCAAAUGUAAAGAAAGUGGGAAACAGGACAGAUGAAUUUGAAGAAACAGAAGAGCUCAGGAAAGUUCAAAGCAUGAAGCAAACUCAAAAGUAUAUCUAAAUACCUAGGGAGCACCUUCAAAGCACAAGGUACCUGAAGAUGAAACGGCAGAAGUGAAAAGAAUUGCUCGUGUAGUACAGGGCUAAAAUUGUACCUGAAGCAUCUCUGCUGCUAUCCCAGGAGAAGAAGAGUCGACAGUAGCUAUGGUAAACAUGCAUGGAAGCAUCAGGGAAAACAGAAAUUUAGAGAAGCAGAUAGAGUGAGCCCAAGGCAAGAUAAGGGUUUCUGGGUCUGAAUUUCAGAAAAGCCUGACUAUGGAGAGUGGGAGUUCCUGUUUUCUUUCAGUGACUUGCUAAUUUCAAUUUUGUGUGUGUGUGGCAUUAACAGAUUUUUGCCUAACUUGGGACAUUUUUAACAGUAGAGGAACUCUUCUGUCAGUUCUGAUAUGGUAAUUUUAAAACACAUAUUCUUUAACUGAACAUUCAUUAAAUCACUUGGCCAGGAAUCCAAAUAACAAAAUGUCUGUCAUGGAAUUCUGUGUGUAAUAGGAGUUAUGUAACUUGUUUCUUCUUAGUAGAGAGAAUAAAAAGUAAAGUCAAAACCACCCCCAGAUGACCAUUUUUAGCACUUUCAUUUUAUCGGGAGAGGUGAGCAACAUGCAGAAAAUAUAUAUUCUUGAAUUAAUCUCCUUUGGGUACAGAGAGAAAAGAGCUCAUUAUUCUUCUAACUGGCAACGUUUGAUUUUAUUGACACCCUAACAGUAUGUCAAUUGCUCAGUAUAUCUCCCUAGGCUGUAGUCUUGCAGACUUUCUUUUUUCUUUUUUUUUUUAACUUACCAAUUCUAUGAUGUAUUCCCAUGGAUGUCUCUUUUUAUGCUAUUUUACAAUCUAUUUCUAGAAUAAUCAUGGAAAUUUCAAUGGAAACAACAUAUCACAUUCUCUGUCUACUACAUAAGUAUGUCUUUUUUAUUUGUAAAUAGAUCAUAUUUUGCACAUAAUUAGGUAAUACCCACAUAUCUCAAUUUGGCUUAGGAAUUAUAUUGAAAGAUAGAAUUGCAUAAGGGUAGGGAUUUUACUUUUAAAUUAUUUUCAUGUCUCCAUGGAUUGGCUCUGUGCUUUACACCCAGUAGCUGUGAAACAAGUACUUAUUUAAUGAUGAAUGAAUAAAUAAAUAAAUAGUUAAAUGCAGCAACAAAAAUGUUGGUAGAUAUAUAGGAUUGUAGAAUCUAAUUGCUUAGUAGGAUCAUCAAGUUCUACCCAAAUUUGGUGUGGCAAACAGAACAAUGGUCCCUUAAGGAUGGCCUAGUCCUAACCUCCCAAACCUGGAAUAUGUUACCUUAUGUAACAAAGAGACUUUGCAGAUGUAAUUAAGUUAAUGAUCUUAAGACAGAAAUAUUAUUCUAAGUGAACUCAAUGAAAUUACAAUGAACAAUGUUCCUUAAAAGAGGAAGGCAAAAGUUCAGAAUGAAACACACAGACACACAUAAAGUGGCUACGAAAGCAGAAGUAGUGAGAGAUUUGAAGAUGCUACCUUACUAGAUUCAAAGACAGAGGAAGGGGUUAAAAUCUGAGGAAAUCAGGCAAGGCAGCCUUUCGAAGCUGCAGAAGAUGAGGAAAUGAAUUCUCCCUAGAACUUCCAGAUAGAAACAGCCCUACUGAUGCCUUGACAUUAGCUCAGUGAAACGUAUUUUCAGACUCUAACUUCCAGAUCUGUAGGAGAUAAAUUUGUGUUGUUUAAGCUACUACAUUUGUGGCAGUUUGUCAAAGUAGCAAAAGGAAACGUAUAUUUGGUAGGCAUCAGAAUUUCCUGAGCAAUAUAGUGUGAUUACCUUUGAAAAUUCUACUCAGCAGUCCUGGAAUUGCAGCCUGAAAUUUGAAAUUUACUAAGUGCUCCCACUAUAUCUGAGUCAGGAAUUACCUAGGAAACCAUGAUAUAUUGCAUUACACUAAUUUUGUACUUGAGAAAAAGCACAAUGUUAAAAUCUCAAGAACAUUAAUAUAGACUUAAGUACAAUUUAUCAUGUAAAAACAUAUUUGAAAAAGUAAGCCUGAAAAAAAGAAACAACUGAACUAUUAACACUAUAUUCUCUAACUAUAUAUUGAUUUUCUCCUUUUGCUUUUACACAGCGAACCACAUAUACUUUCACAGAGGGUGAUUUGGAUAAUAUGUUCCAUGCAUUGCUCCAAGCAGAAAUUCUCAAUCUAUCAUUUCUGCUUGUAUUAUUUUACACCUCUUAAAGACAUUCACAUUCCAUCACAGGGAGCCAAAAUCAGCCUGUUAUAUCUCUGUUUGCGAAUACCGCAAUACUUACUUUACUUUCUCCUGAAUAGAUUGUUAGUGGUUUUUAUUAUCUCCUGUAAAGAGUGUGAGAAAUGCAUGUUGCAAGGACACUUUUGUUUUAUUCACAUUAUUCUACUGAAUCAUGCUAACCAUAGCAUUACAUCUAUUUAUCUAUCUAGCUAUUAAACAUAUUCAGAAUACCUAACAACUUUAGGGGCAUUCAGUAUAUAGAAUAUGCUAGUAUUUGUUAUUUUCUAAAAAUUAAUAAUUAAGAAUGUCAUUCUAUUAUUGCAUUAGUGACUUAGUUAAAAUUUAGACCAUUAACAAAAAAGAGAUGAAAAAAAAAACAAAAAACAUUAGGCACUAAAGGAGUCCUCAGCAAUGGCUUUUUCAAAAUGAUAAUUUGGCAUCAUAAAGCGGGUAUUUGGUAACCAUACUCUAUUACAGAACAGCAAAUGGAAUUUAUGUUCUAUUUUCCCAUAUCCACUUCUUUACUAUAAUUUAGCAAUCAUUGUAAUUCUUACUAUAUAGUUAUUUCAAAUUUGAUAUGAUUCUUAAAGAUGCUCUGAUAGUAACAUUUUCUUUAGUGCCUCAUGUCACUCUCUCUCUCUUUCUUUAAAAAAUAAGUUGUCUUUACAGGAACAAAUUUCACUAUAGAUGCCUGACUUUCUCCUUUCAAAAUGAUUAUUGAAACUCAUUGAGAUCUGGCACUCUGUGUUUCUUAUUUUUAUUCCGUACGUAGGAAAAAAAGAACUCAGAGACACACAUGGUUUUAAGAGGCUGUGACUGUCAACUCUGCCCCUUCCUAUUGAAUAUUGAAGCCUUUAUGUUAUUGAAUACAUUGAAUAUAUUGCAAAUUGGAACCCCAUUAAUAGGAUUCUAAGAAGCCUUACUACUAGAUCUGGAUUCUAAGCCUCCUUGCUUGUAUGAUAGGUUAUUGUCUGAGACAUUAAGCAACUAGACCUAUGUUGGGACACUUGCUUCACAAGGUAAUGCGAUGUAUUAAUAAUGAGGAAAGAAAAAUUGCCCUGCUUGUGCUAGUGAGGAUCUUGAGCACUCUCUAUUUUCUCUUCACUCCUGCUUUAGUGGUUGCAGAAAAGAUUUUUUUUCUGUCAGAUGUACAUGCAGUAGCAAAAAAUUGAAGCAUCUUUCCUCACUAAUGAGCUGCAAAAUUUAACAGUUUGGGGGAGUCUCCAUGGAAACUUUUUAAUAUGGUGACCUAUGAGUGCUAAAUGUGUAUGAGGUGACAAUUCCUUCUACAUGGAAGACUGUCACAGAUAGCAUAUGGUAGGACUUUAUGAAAGCCACUAAAAUUAUUUCUGCCUCAGUUUCCAUCACUAUAAAGGCAUAAUCAUAUAAUCUCCAGUCAUAAGGAUUACUGAGAUAAUCUUUAAAUUUGCAUUAAAUUCCUUGGAGAUAGGCAUUAUAUAAAUAGGAAGCUCCAUAUUAAAUGAACAAAAUUUCAAUAAAGAGUGGCUACACUUAAUGGAUACAAUGUGGUCUGAAAUUUAAGUAAUUGACCAGAAAUCAGGACUUGGGACCAAUUACUGGACAUCCAAUUUGUGUCAUUUGAGAGAAAUUGCAUAGAACAUUCUUUCCUCAUUUUCAACAUUUACUUAUUACAUGAAGUAGAUAAUUUAACACUAAAUAAGGCUAUAGUUACAUUUUCUCCAUGUGUCACUGCAGGCUGCAAAAAAAAGUAUUAUAUUAAAUUAAUAGUCAGAAUCUUUCCCCAAAUGAUGAUAAUUGGAUCUCUGAUUGAAAGGACACCAAAGAAAUGGCUAGAGAAAAUAUAGCUCUGUCCUCAGUAUAUAGUAUUUUUAAUAAUAAUCUAUAUUUUUAAAGUAUUACAUCAUGUUCACUCCAAGAAGGGAGAAAAGAGCUCAAAACAUAUCUGGUGGCACAUCUGUAGUCCCAGCUACUUGGGAGAUUGAGGCAGGAGGAUCACUUUAGCCCAGGAAUUUAAGGCUGCUGU
rnacentral:lncRNA from 1 species